CCUACGGGUAGCAGCAGUCGAGAAUCAUUCACAAUGGGGGAAACCCUGAUGGUGCGACGCCGCGUGAGUGAAGAAGUAUUUCGGUAUGUAAAGCUCUAUCAGCAGGGAAGAAAAUGACGGUACCUGAUUAAGAAGCCACGGCUAACUACGUUCCAGCAGCCGCGGUAAUACGUAGGGGGCAAGCGUUAUCCGGAUUUACUGGGUGUAAAGGGGGCGUAGACGGCAGCAGAAGUCUGGAGUGAAAUGCCGGGGCUUAACCCCGGAACUGCUUUGGAAACUGUGCAGCUAGAGUGCAGGAGAGGUAAGUGGAAUUCAUAGUGUAGCGGUGAAAUGCGUAGAUAUUAGGAGGAACACCAGUGGCGAAGGCGGCUUACUGGACUGUAACUGACGUUGAGGCUCGAAAGCGUGGGGAGCAAACAGGAUUAGAUACCCCUGUAGUC
rnacentral:rRNA from 1 species